GACGAACGCUGGCGGCGUGCCUAAUACAUGCAAGUUGAGCGCUGAAGGUUGGUACUUGUACCGACUGGAUGAGCAGCGAACGGGUGAGUAACGCGUGGGGAAUCUGCCUUUGAGCGGGGGACAACAUUUGGAAACGAAUGCUAAUACCGCAUAAAAACUUUAAACACAAGUUUUAAGUUUGAAAGAUGCAAUUGCAUCACUCAAAGAUGAUCCCGCGUUGUAUUAGCUAGUUGGUGAGGUAAAGGCUCACCAAGGCGAUGAUACAUAGCCGACCUGAGAGGGUGAUCGGCCACAUUGGGACUGAGACACGGCCCAAACUCCUACGGGAGGCAGCAGUAGGGAAUCUUCGGCAAUGGUCGAAAGUCUGACCGAGCAACGCCGCGUGAGUGAAGAAGGUUUUCGGAUCGUAAAACUCUGUUGGUAGAGAAGAACGUUGGUGAGAGUGGAAAGCUCAUCAAGUGACGGUAACUACCCAGAAAGGGACGGCUAACUACGUG
rnacentral:rRNA from 1 species